rnacentral:rRNA from 1 species
UAAGGCCUCGCGCGAUUAGAGCGGCCGAUAUCUGAUUAGCUUGUUGGUGGGGUUAAAAAGCCCACCAAGGCGACGAUCAGUAGCUGGUCUGAGAGGACGAUCAGCCACACUGGGACUGAGACACGGCCCAGACUCCUACGGGAGGCAGCAGUGGGGAAUUUUUGGACAAUGGGGGCAACCCUGAUCCAGCAAUGCCGCGUGAGUGAAGAAGGCCUUCGGGUUGUAAAGCUCUUUUGUCAGGGAAGAAACAGCAGCUCUAACACAGUCUGCGAAUGACGGUACCUGAAGAAUAAGCACCGGCUAACUACGUG